CGCCUGUUUAUCAAAAACAUGUUAUUUUGAUUUUAUAUUUAAUAUUUAACCUGCUCAAUGAUAAUUUAAAUAGCCGCGGUAUUUUGACCGUGCUAAGGUAGCAUAAUAAUUAGUCUUUUAAUUGAGGUCUGGAAUGAAAGGUUGGACGAGAAAAUAGCUUUAUUUUUUGUAAUUUUUUGAAUUUAAUUAUCAAGUUAAAAAGCUUGAAUUUAUUAAAGGGACGAUAAGACCCUAUAGAUCUUUAUUAUUUAGGUUUUAUAUUAUUAUUAUUGUUUUUGAUUUUUAUAAUUUAAAUAAUUUUAUUGGGGUGAUAAUUAAAAAUUUAAACUUUUUUUUUUAUUAACAUUUAUUUGUGAAUUAAGUAUUUUUUUUAAGAGAAUAAGAUAAAGAUACCUUAGGGAUAACAGCGUUAUAUAACUGGAGAGUUCUUAUUGAUAGUUAUGUUUGCGACCUCGAUGUUGGAUUAAAAUUUAUUUAUGGGGUAGGUUUCAUAAUAUUAGGUCUGUUCGACUUUAAAAUUUUACAUGAUCUGAGUUCAGACCGG
rnacentral:rRNA from 1 species